CAAUAGCGUAUAUUAAAGCUGUUGCGGUUAAAAAGCUCGUAGUUGGAUUUCUGUCAAGGACAACUGGUCCGCCCCUCGGGUGAGCACAUAGUUUGGUCUUGGCAUCUUGUUGGAAACUGUUGCUGCACUUGGUUGUGUGGCGCAGUGUCCAGCACUUUCACUUUGAGGAAAUUGGAGUGUUUCAAGCAGGCACAUGCCUUUGGACACAGUAGCAUGGAAUAAUUAGAUUGGGCUUUUGCUCCAACUUGUCGGUUUCUGGAGCUGAGGUGAGAAUUAAUGGGGAUUGUUGGGGGCAUCCGAAUUUAGCCGUCAGAGGUGAAAUUCUUGGAUCUGCUAAAGACGGGCAACUGCGAAAGCGUUUGCCCAGGAUGUUUUCAUUGA
rnacentral:rRNA from 1 species